rnacentral:rRNA from 1 species
GUGCUGAAGGCUCCAUACAAGGACGGCAGCAGGAGUGCAAAUUACCCACUCCCGGCACGGGGAGGUAGUGAAGAAAAAUACCGAUACGUUACUCAUCCGCGGUCCCGUAAUCGGAAUGAGUACACUUCAUAUCCUUUAACGAGGAUCCAUUGGAGGGUCAAGUGCGUGCCAGCAGCCGCGGUCAUUCCAGCUCCAAUAGCGUAUAUUAAAGUUGUUGCGGUAAAAAGCUCGUAGUUGAAUCUGUGUCCUACACUGUUGGCUCACCGCUCGCGGUGUUUAACUAGCAUGUUAUGUGGGACGUCCUACCGGUGGGUGGUACAAAUUAUAUAUAAAGUAUAUUUUAGUGUUAUUAUUUAUUUAAUGCAUUAUAUAUAUAUUUUUAUUAUGUAAUUUGUCGUAAGUGUUUAACCGUUUAGAGCGGUGGCAGCCCCCAAUUGCAAUCCCGUCGCGGUGCUCUUAAUUGAGUGUCGAGGUGGGCCGGUACGUUUACUUUGAACAAAUUAGAGUGCUUAAGGCAGGCUCAAAUUUUGCCUGAAUAUUGUGUGCAUGGAAUAAUGGAAUAGGACCUCGGUUCUAUUUUGUUGGUUUUCGGAACUCCGAGGUAAUGAUUAAUACGGACAGAUGGGGGCAUUCGUAUUGCGACGUUAGAGGUGAAAUUCUUGGAUCGUCGCAAGACGGACAGAAGCGAAAGCAUUUGCCAAAAAUGUUUUGAUUGAUCAAGAACGAAAGUUAGAGGUUCGAAGGCGAUCAGAUACCGCCCUAGUUCUAACCAUAAACGAUGCCAGCUAGCGAUCCGCCGAAGUUCCUCCGAUGACUCGGCGGGCAGCUUCCGGGAAACCAAAGCUUUUGGGUUCCGGGGGAAGUAUGGUUGCAAAGCUGAAACUUAAARGAAUUGACGGAAGGGCACCACCAGGAGUGGRGCCUGCGGCUUAAUUUGACUCAACACGGGAAACCUCACCAGGCCCGGACACCGGAAGGAUUGACAGAUUGAGAGCUCUUUCUUGAUUCGGUGGGUGGUGGUGCAUGGCCGUUCUUAGUUGGUGGAGCGAUUUGUCUGGUUAAUUCCGAUAACGAACGAGACUCUAGCCUGCUAAAUAGACGUACUUUACCGGCAUCUCAAGGCCCAUCGGCUGUUUGUUUCUCGUUUCAUUCAUUUUCAUAUGUGUUAUGUAUUGUAUUUAUAUAUGCAUAUAUUUUUGAGAUUUUACGAUCAAGAUUAUAUUUUGUAUAUAUUGUACUUUAUGUUGCAUGUGUUAUGGUGUACGGGUACGCAGUUUUUUGAUGUGGUUUUUACUGCCGGCGUACAAAUAAUUCUUCUUAGAGGGACAGGCGGCAUUCUAGCCGCACGAGAUUGAGCAAUAACAGGUCUGUGAUGCCCUUAGAUGUUCUGGGCCGCACGCGCGCUACACUGAAGGAAUCAGCGUGUCCUCCCAGGCCGAAAGGUCCGGGUAACCCGCUGAACCUCCUUCGUGCUAGGGAUUGGGGCUUGCAAUUGUUCCCCAUGAACGAGGAAUUCCCAGUAAGCGCGAGUCAUAAGCUCGCGUUGAUUACGUCCCUGCCCUUUGUACACACCGCCCGUCGCUACUACCGAUUGAAUGAUUUAGUGAGGUCUUCGGACUGGUACGCGGCAAUAUUUCUGAUAUUGCCGAUGUUGCUGGGAAGAUGACCAAACUUGAUCAUUUAGAGGAAGUAAAAGUCGUAACAAGG